rnacentral:lncRNA from 1 species
UUGUGAACGCAGAUGCAGUCAAGAAAUACUUCGCCUAAAAAAGAAAAGAACAACUCGCUAAGUUGAAAACCCGAAUGGGCGACUUAGGCAAAAAUGAGUGUCUUGGUGGAUUGAAAACCCGAAAGGGCGAUCUAGGCAAAAAUUAGAGACAUAAAACAUAAAGAAUUUCCCGAUAAGUUAAGUACCCUACCUUGGGGCAACUUAUGCAAAAAUUAGGGAUUAUGGCAAGUAACUGCAUUCUGCUGAUCUGAGCACAAGGGUUGAC